rnacentral:rRNA from 1 species
UGGGGAAUAUUGCACAAUGGGGGAAACCCUGAUGCAGCAACGCCGCGUGAGUGAAGAAGUAUUUCGGUAUGUAAAGCUCUAUCAGCAGGGAAGAAAAUGACGGUACCUGACUAAGAAGCCCCGGCUAACUACGUGCCAGCAGCCGCGGUAAUACGUAGGGGGCAAGCGUUAUCCGGAUUUACUGGGUGUAAAGGGAGCGUAGGCGGUUUGGCAAGUCAGAAGUGAAAGCCCAAGGCUUAACCAUGGGACUGCUUUUGAAACUGUCAGACUGGAUUGC